CAUUAUACGACAAACUUAUUUCAGUAUUGAUGUUAUACUCAGAGUUUUCUUUGCACACCAUCACUGGGUGAAGUUUGUCCUAUAAU
rnacentral:pre_miRNA from 12 species